CCUACGGGUGUCAGCAGUGGGGAAUAUUGGGCAAUGGAGGCAACUCUGACCCAGCAACGCCGCGUGAAUGAUGACUGUCUUCGGAUUGUAAAGUUCUUUUCUAAGGGAAGAAGAAAGUGACGGUACCUUAGGUAUAAGCCUCGGCUAACUACGUGCCAGCAGCCGCGGUAAUACGUAGGAGGCAAGCGUUAUCCGGAAUGACUGGGCGUAAAGGGUGCGUAGGUGGUUUGACAAGUUGGUAGCGUAACUCAGGGGCUCAACUUCGGAACUACUGCCAAAACUGUUGGACUCGAGUGCAGGGGGGGUGACUGGAAUUUCUGGUGUAGCGGUGGAAUGCGUAGAUAUCAGGAAGAACACCGGUGGCGAAGGCGAGUUGCUGGACUGUAACUGACACUGAGGCACGAAAGCGUGGGGAGCAAACAGGAUUAGAUACCCCAGUGGUC
rnacentral:rRNA from 1 species